UACGUAGGGACCAAGCGUUGUUCGGAUUUACUGGGCGUAAAGGGCGCGUAGGCGGCAAUUCAAGUCAGUUGUGAAAUCUCCGAGCUUAACUCGGAACGGUCAACUGAUACUGUUUUGCUAGAGUACAGAAGGGGCAAUCGGAAUUCUUGGUGUAGCGGUGAAAUGCGUAGAUAUCAAGAGGAACACCUGAGGUGAAGACGGGCUGCUGGGCUGAUACUGACGCUGAGGCGCGAAAGCUAGGGUAGCAAACGGG
rnacentral:rRNA from 1 species